UUAUUGUUGAUUAUAAUAAAUGGUUCCUGCCCAGUGAUUAAUUUAAACGGCCGCGGUACUCUGACCGUGCAAAGGUAGCAUAAUCACUUGCCUCUUAAUUGGGGGCUGGUAUGAAUGGAAGUUCGGGAGUUAAGCUGUCUCUAGGCUAAAUGUGGAAUUUGCUGUUUCUGUGAAGAAGCAGGGGUAAUGCAAAAGGACAAGAAGACCCUAUUAAGCUUUACUUUUUGAUGUAGUUCUAAUCAUUGGUGUUGUAAGGGAUUGCAGUAAGAAAAGUUUGGUUGGGGUGACCAAAGAAGACGAAAUCUUCUUUUUUUUAUAAACAGAUUGGUUUAUAGUUGAUCCGAAAAAUUUCGAGCGAAAGAAAAAGCUACUAUAGGGAUAACAGCGUUAUUUUUUCUUAGAGUUCUAAUCGAAGAAAAAGAUUGCGACCUCGAUGUUGACUUGUCAUAUCCUGUAUUGUGGUGCAGAUGUUGCAAGGGUUGGUCUGUUCGACCAUUAAAAUGGC
rnacentral:rRNA from 1 species